rnacentral:rRNA from 1 species
ACGGAAGGCAGCAGUGGGGAAUAUUGGGCAAUGGGCGCAAGCCUGACCCAGCAACGCCGCGUGAAGGAAGAAGGCUUUCGGGUUGUAAACUUCUUUGACGAGGGACGAAGAAUGACGGUACCUCGAAAACAAGCCACGGCUAACUACGUGCCAUCAGCCGCGGUAAUACGUAGGUUGCAAGCGUUGUCCGGAUUUACUGGGUGUAAAGGGCGCGUAGGCGGGUCUACAAGUCAGAUGUGAAAUCUAUGGGCUUAACCCAUAACGUGCAUUUGAAACUGUAGGUCUUGAGUGAUGGAGAGGCAGGCGGAAUUCCUAGUGUAGCGGUGAAAUGCGUAGAUAUUGGGAGGAACACCAGUGGCGAAGGCGACCUGCUGGACAUUAACUGACGCUGAGGCGCGAAAGCGUGGGGAGCAAACAGGAUUAGAUACCCUGGUA